UUAAUUGAAGAGUUUGAUCAUGGCUCAGAUUGAACGCUGGCGGCAGGCCUAACACAUGCAAGUCGAGCGGUAACAGAUUGAUAGCUUGCUAUCAAUGCUGACGAGCGGCGGACGGGUGAGUAAUGCCUGGGAAUAUACCCUGAUGUGGGGGAUAACUAUUGGAAACGAUAGCUAAUACCGCAUAAUCUCUUCGGAGCAAAGAGGGGGACCUUCGGGCCUCUCGCGUCAGGAUUAGCCCAGGUGGGAUUAGCUAGUUGGUGGGGUAAUGGCUCACCAAGGCGACGAUCCCUAGCUGGUCUGAGAGGAUGAUCAGCCACACUGGAACUGAGACACGGUCCAGACUCCUACGGGAGGCA
rnacentral:rRNA from 1 species